rnacentral:rRNA from 1 species
GACGAACGCUGGCGGCGUGCUUAACACAUGCAAGUCGAACGGAAAGGCCCUGCUUUUGUGGGGUGCUCGAGUGGCGAACGGGUGAGUAACACGUGAGUAACCUGCCCUUGACUUUGGGAUAACUUCAGGAAACUGGGGCUAAUACCGGAUAGGAGCUCCUGCUGCAUGGUGGGGGUUGGAAAGUUUCGGCGGUUGGGGAUGGACUCGCGGCUUAUCAGCUUGUUGGUGGGGUAGUGGCUUACCAAGGCUUUGACGGGUAGCCGGCCUGAGAGGGUGUCCGGCCACAUUGGGACUGGGAUACGGCCCAGACGCCUACGGGAGGCAGCAGUGGGGAAUAUGGCACAAGGGGCGGAAGCCUGAGGCAGCAACGCCGCGUGCGGGAGGACGGCCUUCGGGUUGUAAACCGCUUUCGCCUGUGACGAAGCGUGAGUGACGGUAAUGGGGAAAGAAGCACCGGCUAACUACGU